rnacentral:rRNA from 1 species
GUGGGGAAUCUUCCGCAAUGGACGAAAGUCUGACGGAGCAACGCCGCGUGAGUGAUGAAGGUCUUCGGAUUGUAAAGCUCUGUUAAUCGGGACGAAAGAGCCUAGUGUGAAUAAUGCUAGGAAGUGACGGUACCGGAAUAGAAAGCCACGGCUAACUACGUGCCAGCAGCCGCGGUAAUACGUAGGUGGCAAGCGUUGUCCGGAAUUAUUGGGCGUAAAGCGCGCGCAGGCGGAUCUGCCAGUCUGUCUUAAAAGUUCGGGGCUUAACCCCGUGAUGGGAUGGAAACUACAGAUCUAGAGUAUCGGGGAGGAAAGUGGAAUUCCUAGUGUAGCGGUGAAAUGCGUAGAUAUUAGGAAGAACACCAGUGGCGAAGGCGACUUUCUGGACGAAAACUGACGCUGAGGCGCGAAAGCCAGGGGAGCGAACGGGAUUAGAUACCCCUGUAGUCC